rnacentral:rRNA from 1 species
GACGAACGCUGGCGGCGUGCUUAACACAUGCAAGUCGAACGGAAAGGCCCUGCUUUUGUGGGGUGCUCGAGUGGCGAACGGGUGAGUAACACGUGAGUGACCUGCCCUUGACUUUGGGAUAACUUCAGGAAACUGGGGCUAAUACCGGAUAGGAGCUCCUGCUGCAUGGUGGGGGUUGGAACGUCUCGGCGGUUGGGGAUGGACUCGCGGCUUAUCAGCUUGUUGGUGGGGUAGUGGCUUACCAAGGCUUUGACGGGUAGCCGGCCUGGGAGGGUGACCGGCGACAUUGGGACUGAGAGAGGGACCAGACUGCAACGGUAGGCAGCAGUGGGGAAUAUUACACAAUGGGCGGGAGCCUGAUGCAGCGACGCCGCGUGCGGGAUGACGGCCUUCGGGUUGUAAACCGCUUUCGCCUGUGACGAAGCGUGAGUGACGGUAAUGGGUAAAGAAGCACCGGCUAACUACGUG